GACAGCAGCAGCCGCGGGAAUACGUAGGGUGCAAGCGUUAAUUGGAAUUACUGGGCGUAAAGCGUGCGCAGGCGGUUAUAUAAGACAGAUGUGAAAUCCCCGGGCUCAACCUGGGAACUGCAUUUGUGACUGUAUAGCUAGAGUACGGCAGAGGGGGAUGGAAUUCCGCGUGUAGCAGUGAAAUGCGUAGAUAUGCGGAGGAACACCGAUGGCGAAGGCAAUCCCCUGGGCCUGUACUGACGCUCAUGCACGAAAGCGUGGGGAGCAAACAGGAUUAGAUACCCCGGUAGUCCCUGUCUCUUAUAC
rnacentral:rRNA from 1 species